AUUAGAGCCUUAGUAGUAUAGUUAAUACACUGGUCUUGUAAACCGGAG
rnacentral:tRNA from 1 species